UUCACGCGCUUUUUUAUUUUUAUAAUUUUUUGUUUUUGAAUGUGAGGAUUCUUUAAAACAAAUAUGGACAACUAAUGCUGACCAAUGCAUUUGGUGGCUUUAGUGAAUUACAGUAUUUAAUUAAAUCGUAAAUGUAAAGCAAAUUGUAACUUCCGCGUGAAAAUUGCUAUACACACUUCAAUAUACAAAAGCUGCUUUAUCUUAUCUAGCCACACACAUGCAUUUUACCAUAUUUGCAUAUACGGAUCCACCUGUAAACGUUAUAAAAGUUAGGCGACCUGCAAGGUCAAAUUUUUUAAAAGAUGUGUAGGCCAGACUUGGAGGUAACGGGUUUGCGACAAAUUACUAGCCAGCCAAGGACCGUCGUUUGAGUACAACGCGAAAUCAGUUCAGCAAACAUAAAAUUCAUCUAUGUAUAUAUUUUUUAAAUGCAUGCAUUAACUUUAGUUCUUAUUCACCAAAGGCAGCUUUAGUAAUUUUGUUAUACAAUUGGAUGAAUUUAAUUCUAGUUAAAUAGCAAUAUUUUGUUUAUGUUUUUAAUAUGGUUAUUAUUUUCUUCUAUGAACUAUUAAACAAAUUAAAUAUUCUGCUCCAC